rnacentral:misc_RNA from 1 species
CGGGUGAGUCAUCGAAUCUUUGAACGCACAUUGCGCCCUCUGGUAUUCCGGGGGGCAUGCCUGUUCGAGCGUCAUUAAAACUACUCAAGCUAAGGUUUUACCUUCUGCUUGGUCUUGGGUUUGAGGAUUCAAAACCCUCUCUCCGAAAUCCAGUGGCGAAUUGUUUGAGCUGUAGACGUAGUAAAACUUUCUACCCGUUGCAAGCGAGAAUAUAUUCAGCCAUAACCCCCAUACUUUUCUAGUUUGACCUCGGAUCAGGUAGGGAUACCCGCUGAACUUAAGCAUAUCAAUAAGCGGAGG